rnacentral:rRNA from 1 species
GGCGAGCGGCGGACGGGUGAGUAAUGCCUAGGAAUCUGCCUAGUAGUGGGGGAUAACGUCCGGAAACGGGCGCUAAUACCGCAUACGUCCUACGGGAGAAAGUGGGGGAUCUUCGGACCUCACGCUAUUAGAUGAGCCUAGGUCGGAUUAGCUAGUUGGUGAGGUAAUGGCUCACCAAGGCGACGAUCCGUAACUGGUCUGAGAGGAUGAUCAGUCACACUGGAACUGAGACACGGUCCAGACUCCUACGGGAGGCAGCAGUGGGGAAUAUUGGACAAUGGGCGAAAGCCUGAUCCAGCCAUGCCGCGUGUGUGAAGAAGGUCUUCGGAUUGUAAAGCACUUUAAGUUGGGAGGAAGGGCAGUUACCUAAUACGUGAUUGUUUUGACGUUACCGACAGAAUAAGCACCGGCUAACUCUGUGCCAGCAGCCGCGGUAAUACAGAGGGUGCAAGCGUUAAUCGGAAUUACUGGGCGUAAAGCGCGCGUAGGUGGUUUGUUAAGUUGGAUGUGAAAGCCCCGGGCUCAACCUGGGAACUGCAUCCAAAACUGGCAAGCUAGAGUAUGGUAGAGGGUGGUGGAAUUUCCUGUGUAGCGGUGAAAUGCGUAGAUAUAGGAAGGAA